rfam:Atopobium vaginae DSM 15829 Contig27.fasta, whole genome shotgun sequence.
GGGGGUGACUGGAUUCGACAGGGUAAGUUUGAGGUGGGCAGCAAGCCGUGGUCUCCUCGCCACGUUAAUCAGGGGUACUGUCAAAUUUAAUUGACAAUGUUAUUCCUUUCAAGAGUGAGCGUAAGCUUGCUCUUGCUGCUUAAUUUAUACAAGCAGCCGACAAACUAAGAAUUGCUUCCGUUUUUAGGGCGUCGUCAUUUUAGGAAGAUGCAACAUAAGACGUGGACUGUAUGCUUAUGUUUAAGAUUGAACAGAAUCGAACAUACAUCGCCUGUUGUUAAGUGGUGUAUGUUUUAAAUUUAAUUGACAACUGAGCUUGGAGACACCUGCCAGGAAUUUGCGUUGGACCGGAGUUCGAUUCUCCGCACCUCCACCA